CCUACGGGUGGCAGCAGUGAGGAAUAUUGGUCAAUGGACGCAAGUCUGAACCAGCCAUGCCGCGUGCAGGAAGACGGCUCUAUGAGUUGUAAACUGCUUUUGUACGAGGGUAAACGCAGAUACGCGUCUCUGUCUGAAAGUAUCGUACGAAUAAGGAUCGGCUAACUCCGUGCCAGCAGCCGCGGUAAUACGGAGGAUUCAAGCGUUAUCCGGAUUUGUUGGGUUUAAAGGGUGCGUAGGCGGUCUGAUAAGUUAGAGGUGAAAGCCCGAGGCUCAACUUCGGAAUUGCCUCUGAUACUGUUCGGCUAGAGAGUAGAUGCGGUAGGCGGAAUGUAUGGUGUAGCGGUGAAAUGCUUAGAGAUCAUACAGAACACCGAUUGCGAAGGCAGCUUACCAGGCUACUACUGACGUUGAGGCACGAAAGCGUGGGGAGCAAACAGGAUUAGAUACCCGAGUAGUC
rnacentral:rRNA from 1 species